rnacentral:rRNA from 1 species
AGCAGUGAGGAAUAUUGGUCAAUAGCCUAACAGUGCCCUUACAGCACUUGGAGGAUGAACAGGGAAAACUGGUCAAAUGUGAUGUACCUGAUAAUAUUAGAAAUUAAUAUGAAAUUAAUUAACUUAAUUAAAAUUCUAAGUGAGUGUAAGAUUAUGACAAUAUUUGCUUAUUUCUUGACAAAGUCACGUGCCAGCGGUCGCGGUAAUACGUGGUAGAUUAGUGUUAUUCAUCUUUAGUAGGUUUAAAGGGUACCUAGACAGUUAAUUAAGCAUUAAGGUGUACUAAUUUAACUAGAGUUUAAUGUAAGAAGAUUGAGUACGGUGAGUGAAGAGAUAAAAUUCUGUCAUACCACUUAGAAACUGGUAAAGGCGAAGGCAACCUUUUAUGUAAAAACUGACGUUAAGGGACGAAGGCUCGUAUUAAGUAACAGGAUUAGAUACCCUAGUAUUGUGGGCAGACAAUGAUGAGUGUCAUAUGCAAGAGAAUUAAAAAAAAAUUUUUGUGUAUAAAUGAAAGUGUAAGCACUCCACCUCAAGAGUAACGUGGCAACAUGGGAACUGAAAUCAUUAGACCGUUUCUGAAACUCGUAGUGAAGUAUGUUGUUUAAUUUGUAGUUACGCAAAGAACCUUACCACAAUUUGUAUAACUAGUACUGCAUUAUAACUAUUAUAUAUUUUCAUUGUUCAUAUUUUAGUUAUUAAUUUAUUAGUCGCAAGCGUUGCACGGCUGUCUUCAGUUAAUGUUGUGAAACUUUGGUUAGAUCCAUUAAAUUGACGUAAGCCCUUACUCUAUUUGUUUUAGAGUAGUUCGCCGCUAUAUUGGUAGUGAUAUAAGGGACUAAGACAAGUCAUCAUGACCUAAACAUUGUGAGCUAUAGACGUGCCACA